UGCCAGCAGCCGCGGUAAUUCCAGCUCCAAUAGCGUAUAUUAAAGUUGUUGCGGUUAAAAAGCUCGUAGUUGGAUCUCAGCUCACGCUAAGUGGUCCACUUAAUGGUGGUUACUACUUAGCUGAGCAUUUUACAGAUUUGUCUCUUGAUGCUCUUCACCGAGUGUCAAGAGUGGUCUGUACGUUUACUUUGAAAAAAUUAGAGUGCUUAAAGCAGGCAACUCGCCCGAAUAAUCUUGCAUGGAAUAAUGGAAUAGGACCUUGGUUCUAUUUUGUUGGUCUCCGGAAUCUGAGGUAAUGAUUAAGAGGGACAGACGGGGGCAUUCGUAUUGCGCCGCUAGAGGUGAAAUUCUUGGACCGGCGCAAGACGAACUACAGCGAAAGCAUUUGCCAAGAAUGUUUUCAUUAAUCAAGAACGAAAGUUAGAGGUUCGAAGGCGAUCAGAUACCGCCCUAGUU
rnacentral:rRNA from 1 species